rnacentral:rRNA from 1 species
CCUACGGGAGGCAGCAGUGAGGAAUAUUGGUCAAUGGACGCAAGUCUGAACCAGCCAUGCCGCGUGCAGGAUGACGGCUCUAUGAGUUGUAAACUGCUUUUGUACGAGGGUAAACCCCGAUACGUGGAUGGGGGUGAAAGUAUCGUACGAAUAAGGAUCGGCUAACUCCGGGCCAGCAGCCGCGGUAAUACGGAGGAUCCGAGCGUUAUCCGGAUUGAUUGGGUUUAAAGGGUGCGUAGGAGGUUUGAUAAGUUAGAGGUGAAAUGUCGGGGCUUAACCCCGAAACUGCCGCUAAUACUGUUGGACUAGGGAAUAGUUGCGGUAGGCGGAAUGUAUGGUGUAGCGGUGAAAUGCUUAGAGAUCAUACAGAACACCGAUUGCGAAGGCAGCUUACCAAACUAUAUCUGACGUUGAGGCACGAAAGCGUGGGUAGCAAACAGGAUUAGAUACCCGGGUAGUC